CACGUAGGGUGCGAGCGUUGUCCGGAAUUACUGGGCGUAAAGAGCUCGUAGGUGGUUUGUCGCGUUGUUCGUGAAAACUCACAGCUCAACUGUGGGCGUGCGGGCGAUACGGGCAGACUGGAGUACUGCAGGGGAGACUGGAAUUCCUGGUGUAGCGGUGGAAUGCGCAGAUAUCAGGAGGAACACCGGUGGCGAAGGCGGGUCUCUGGGCAGUAACUGACGCUGGAGGAGCGAAAGCGUGGGGAGCGAACAGG
rnacentral:rRNA from 1 species